AGGGAUGAACUGGGCAGAACUCUUUCCUUUCAAGGCAAAUAUCAACCUUUGUAUGAAGAUGCCAAAAGUAAAGAAAGAUUGCUCUGCAUUUCUACAGUACCACAUAAAGAUUAUGGGCACAGAGCCUAGAAGAUAAUUUAGAUACCAGGGCAACUGAUAUGAGUGUCUGUAAAUUGCUCUGCAUCAUCUUGGGAAUGACUAUCAUAUGAACAGCAAUAAAGCCCAGUGAUUCAGAGUCUCGGAGAAGGAACAUUUCCAGAAUGGACAGAGAAAGGUGAAGUACUGAACCUCCUGUUUUUUGGUGUCGUAUCUUUAAAGGAAGUCAAACAUGCUGGUCUGGCUCUGAAUGGCUCACCUGAAAAUCAGUCGUCAAUGUCUUUGUUCUCUGAGCA